UGGGGAAUAUUGCGCAAUGGGCGAAAGCCUGACGCAGCAACGCCGCGUGGGGGAUGAAGGUUCUCGGAUUGUAAACCCCUUUCGAUCGGAACGAAUCUCCUCUUGGUAAAUAAUCAGGAGGAUCGACGGUACCGGGAGAAGAAGCCACGGCUAACUCUGUGCCAGCAGCCGCGGUAAGACAGAGGUGGCGAGCGUUGUUCGGAUUUAUUGGGCGUAAAGCGAACGCAGGUGGUUUGGUAAGUCAGAGGUGAAAGACCACAGCUUAACUGUGGCACUGCCUUUGAUACUGCCUUUCUAGAGUGCAUGAGGGGGAAGCGGAAUUCCGAGUGUAGAGGUGAAAUUCGUAGAUAUUCGGAGGAACACCGGUGGCGAAGGCGGCUUCCUGGCAUGUAACUGACACUCAUGUUCGAAAGCGUGGGUAGCAAACAGGAUUAGAUACCCUGGUAGUCCACGCCCUAAACGAUGGGCACUAGGUGUGGGAGGUAUCGACCCCUUCCGUGCCGCAGCUAACGCAUUAAGUGCCCCGCCUGGGGAGUACGGCCGCAAGGUUG
rnacentral:rRNA from 1 species